rnacentral:snRNA from 1 species
AUCACUUCUUGGCAUUUUGGCUAGAAUCAAGUGUAGUUUCUGUUCUUAUCAGUUUAAUAUCUUUUCCCACUGAAAAAUGUGGCUCUGCUAUGUUGGGGCCGGAGUAAUUAAACCAGUGUUAGGAGGAAAGAAAGUGAAGUCACUCAGUCAUGUCCAACUCUUUGCGACCCCAUGGAGACCAGGUUCCUCUGUCCAUGGAAUUUUCU